rnacentral:rRNA from 1 species
UACGGAGGGUGCAAACGUUGCUCGGAAUCAUUGGGCGUAAAGCGCACGUAGGCGGUCCGGUGUGUCGGGUGUGAAAUCCCUCGGCUCAACCGAGGAAGUGCAUUCGAAACUACCGGACUUGAGUAUGGAAGAGGGUCGCGGAAUUCCCGGUGUAGAGGUGAAAUUCGUAGAUAUCGGGAGGAACACCAGUGGCGAAGGCGGCGACCUGGGCCAAUACUGACGCUGAGGUGCGAAAGCGUGGGGAGCAAACAGG